GCCGGGCGUGGUGGCUCACGCCUGUAAUCCCAGCACUUUGGGAGGCCGAGGCAGGCGGAUCACCUGAGGUCAGGAGUUGGAGACCAGCCUGACCAACAUGGAGAAACCCAGUCUCUA
rnacentral:SRP_RNA from 1 species